rnacentral:rRNA from 1 species
ACGGAAGUUACGAGGAAGCUUGCGAAUUGUAACUUUAGUGGCGGACGGGUGAGUAACGCGUGGAUAACCUGCCUACAUGACCGGGACAACACCGGGAAACUGGUGCUAAUACCGGAUACGCUCAUAGAUACACAUGUAUAUAUGAGGAAAGGAGCAAUCCGCAGGUAGAUGGGUCCGCGUCCCAUUAGCUAGUUGGCGGUGUAAAAGACCACCAAGGCGACGAUGGGUAGCCGGCCUGAGAGGGUGAACGGCCACACUGGAACUGAGACACGGUCCAGACUCCUACGGGAGGCAGCAGUGGGGAAUCUUCCGCAAUGGGCGCAAGCCUGACGGAGCAACGCCGCGUGAGUGAAGAAGGCUUUCGGGUUGUAAAACUCUGUCUUCAGGGAAGAAAAAAAUGACGGUACCUGAGGAGGAAGCCCCGGCUAACUACGUGCCAGCAG